UACGGGGGGGGCAAGCGUUGUUCGGAAUUACUGGGCGUAAAGGGCUCGUAGGUGGCCAACUAAGUCAGACGUGAAAUCCCCUCGGCUUAACCGGGGAACUGCGUCUGAUACUGGAUGGCUUGAGUUCGGGGAGAGGGAUGCGGAAUUCCAGGUGUAGCGGUGAAAUGCGUAGAUAUCUGGAGGAACACCGGUGGCGAAGGCGGCAUCCUG
rnacentral:rRNA from 1 species